CUAAGUGUGAGUGUUUCCUUGAGGUCUGUGAGCUGUUCUAGCAAACGAUGGAGCCCAGGGAGGGAGCGGCGGGCACCCGGACGCAGAGCCCGUCGGUCGGACGUACAGGUGGCACCCGGAGACUUGCGAUUGGCACCUGAGGUGGGGGCAGUCUUGUGGGACCGAGCCCCGCACCUGCGGCAUCUGGGUCAACUCCAGUCAGAGUCGGAAUUGAACUGAAUCAUGGGACGCCUGGCUGGUGUCGCGGAGGAGAGCUCCAUGGGUGGGAAACCCACAUCCGGUGUCAGAACUGUUGUGAGUAUGGGAAUAAAGAAGUGUUUUUUCCGAUGCCGUGCCCCACGAGGCCACCAGGAAAGGGGGCACACAUCCUGUGUCCACAAACAUAGGAAGCCACGCGCUCAGCCUGAGGAUGUCCGGUUUGGCCAGGAAACCUCCUCUCCGAGACUCAGAGAGCUUCCUCGGCAGCAGCCUUCAGGGGCACAUCGGAGGGGUCCCCAGGGUGUCCGUGGUUCAGGGAAGCUGGUUUGGGGGGCAUAGAAGCCUGACCUCUGCCAGGUCAUCCAUCCAACCACACCUUCAAGGUGCCUACUAAGUGCCCAGAGGUGUGCAAGACUCAGGGAUCCUGACGGCAAUGGGCCACCCCUGCCUCCUGGAGGCCCUGGUCUGAUAGGGGUCAGCUGGCCAGUUGGAGGGUCAGCCUUGGGAAACGGGAUCCCAGGCCCCCUCAGUCGAGUCAAAUGGACGAUGGCUGUGUGCAGGAGAAGGCUCAAUCCGCUGAGGAAGGGGUCCUUGGGGGACCGGAGGAGUGUAAAAGCCCAGCUCAUGGGGCCUGGGAGCCAAGGCGUGUCGCGGGGGGCUUUGGUGGGGUGAGGAGGGAGUGCAGGAGAUGCCCCCGGCUCCGGGUCUGCUGUACGUUAGAGGCAGGUGCAAAUUCUCCUCCAUGUCCGGGGUCUGGAAUGGAGCAGUGGUGACAACAGCCGUCCCUGCCCCUCCUCAGAGCAGGCCACCCUGCUCUGAGUCCCGACCUUUCAGUGUAACCCAGUCAGAGCGCUGGCUUCCCUGCCCUGGGCCACUCUGGGGAUGCUCUGUCACUCUCUGGUCUCCCCGGGGCUGGGCUGCGUCUGGCCCUCGGCCAGAGAGAGAGCAGCCCCCGUUCACACCCACAAAGUUGGGAACAGAGAGCCUCCAGCACCUGGCAUGGGUUUCCUAUCUCGGCUCCAACAAGUCUCCAUGAUCAGUGCCUUGGGGGACCGAGGAAGAAGCCAUUCCCUUGCUUUCCCAGCUGCUGUAGAGGCGCCCACGUGCCCACCCCGAGCUCGGCCUCUCCGUAGGAGCCCCUCCUGCUUCCCUUGAGUGAGGACCCUGUGACCACUCGGGUCCCACAGACCCUCCCCAUCACCCCACAUCUGGAUCACUAAUAUAAUCACGCCAGCCCAAGGCAACAUAGUCUCAGGUUCUGGGCACCAAGACGAAGACAUCUUUGGGGCCAGUGUUCUGUCUACCACGCACUGUGGGAACCGCAGCCCUAACCUAAGCUAAUCCUUACAAGGAUACCGUGAGCUAUUGCAAUGUCCAUUUUACAGAUGAAGGACUGAGGCCCAGAGAGCUUGGGCAAUUUGACCGAGGGCCCCCCACCUGGCUCCAGAGCCCUAACACCCACACCUCGCACGUCUCCCUGGCCUGAGAUGAGGGGAGGGCGUGAAGGCCAGGUCUUGGGAGGGCCGGAGAGGCAGGACGUGGGCACACAGGGCCCAGCAUGGCCCCCCCUGCCCACCACGCCAGCCGCCUGGCCGCUCUGCCCUGCGGGGCCAGAUGGGAAGCAGGCUCCGUGCUUCAGCCUCUGGGCGCGAGUCCCGGCUUGACUCCGAGCAGCCGUGGACAGGCCGCCUGGUCUCUCUGAGCUUCAGUCUUGUCACCUGAGAAACGGGAAGAACUGUUACUCCUUUCCCAGACUACUGCGCAGCUCUGGCGCGAUGGUGCAGGCCACGCGCUUUAGAACAAGCCUGGGCGGUGGGAAGUGUCUACAUAAAGUCACUGAGGCUGUCCUCUCACUGAAGGGAGCUGUUCCAUUUCGCUGGCCACGUGUGCAGCGAGGCUGCUGCUGACCCGAAGUGAGGAGGGUCCUGGGCGCUGGGCUCAGUGAUGGAGGAGCCCCUCUGGGUCUCACUGUGGCCAAGGAAGCCAACUUGCUGUGAGGCCUUGGGCGAGUUUCUUCCCCCUCUGUUCUCCCACCUGUAAAGCAGUAGCAUUGACCCACAUGGGGCCUCCAGGCCCUGCUGUCCUGGGGGCUGUGUGGUGGCGCGGCCGAUGGGGGAGGCACAGGCCACCAUGUGGUCAGAUGGGGAAGAAACCUGUUUUCCGGGGGGGCCCCAGGAGGCAGGCUGGCUGGCGCAUUGGGAGCAUGCUGGUUGGUGCUUAGGAUGCCUGUUGGGCUGGCCCUUGGGGGUCAUGCUGGAUAAAUACCCAGAAAUGGAAUUACUGGGUCAUACGGUAUUUCCGUUGUGAAUGUUCGAGGAAGGUCCACACCAUUGUCCAGAGCACAUGAAGCAGUUUGCAGCCCCAGUGGCAGAGGCACGAAUGUCCCCUUUCUCCACAGCCUGGCUGACACCUGCUGUAUCCACAUCUCCUUGGUUGUCUUUCUCUCCAUAAGGUAAUUUCAGGACAGCGACUGUCCUAACGUAAGCUUUCUAUUAGCCUUUUAAGCAUGGAGUUGUCUACACAUUGUAACAUUGCCCCCAGCUUCCCUUUCUGACAGAGGCACCAGGGACACGGACAAAGAUCCCGCGUACCCUCUGUGAAGGAGGGAAAAGGGACGAACGUCCUCUUGAAAGAGUCUGAGCAAACAGCCGGCCUGGACUGGCGCUUCCCGCCACGGCCGGAGGGGACCCCUGGCCGCCCGACCCCCAUCUGCUGACCAGCCUCAGUCCCAGCGGGGUGGAUGUCUCCACUCGUCCUUCCUGCUGUGGCUGCACUUUCAUUUCCAAGUUCAACGUCCGUGGUAAACGGGAGACUCCAGAACAGAUUUCUUCCCGGCCUCCGUCCCUGCCCGUGUCAACGCACCAGACAGAUGUUUCCUACUCGUCCUGCCUUGUCCCAGGCCAGGCAAAGUUCUGAAUCGGGAAAGGGAAAAUAUAAUUGCCGCGAGGAGUCAAACAUCUUUACCCUUGAACGAGAAAAGUUGUUCAUGUCUUCGAUGAGAACACGGAGCGUUGGAGAGAGCACACAGGUGACUCUAGGCAUGGCUGGCAGUGCCACAGCGGGAUCCUGUACCAGCAGCCUGAGUGCAGAAGUGCUUUGCCCCCUGAGGUUCACAAAGCAGACACCCACCUUGGGGGACAUGCUUGCCAUCGUUGGACUCUGUGGGAGCCAGUCCCUGGGCAAGAUGACCAAAUCGAGUUCUAUGGUCUGUUAAGGUGAGGCCUAAGCCCAUGGACCUGAAGGCUGAAGGAUCCAGCCGGGCACCUCUUUGGUUGCUCUUAACCGCAACUCUUUCUGGAGAAAGAAUGUGCUAGAAGGGAAGAAAAAUAGAAGGAUGCCAGCCAUUGGGGGAGGCUAUUGUUGGCCACUCAACAUCUAUUUCACUCCUAUUGAUGCAAAAGGAACAAACCUCUUUAAACACUUUUAAAAAGAAAGAAAAAGUUUUAUUCGAGCCCAAAUUAGAAUGGCUGCCCAGGAUACAUGAUCUUUACAAAGAGUGCUCCGGGAAUGGAACAUUUGGUGCAGGGUGAUGUGUCUUUUACAUAAAAAGAGUUACAAAUCAUCAUGACCAAGGACAUUCCAGAAAGUUACAGACCUUAUCUUAUGUUUUUAGUAUGUGCAAAACCGUAUGACUUUAAGCUUUUGGGAGCCAGGAAGGGUUUUUGUGUGUGUGUGUGUGUGUGUGUUUGUUUUUCUUAUCUUUAUUUUUGGAAUCCUCCUUUUCGAUUAUUUAUUAUUAUUUUUUUAAUAAAGCAGACAUUCAACGCGUGGUCGGGGCAGAACUAGAGCCCGUGCUUUGAGGUUUUGUGGAGGCAUUUUGAACACUGGUAAAAUGUUAAGGGAGAGCUUCUCUGGGAG